CCCUCCCUCUUUCUUCCUGCCUAACACAUGCAAGUCGAACGAGACCUUCGGGUCUAGUGGCGCACGGGUGCGUAACGCGUGGGAACCUGCCCUUAGGUUCGGAAUAACUCCCCGAAAGGGGUGCUAAUACCGGAUAAUGUCUUCGGACCAAAGAUUUAUCGCCUUUGGAUGGGCCCGCGUUGGAUUAGCUAGUUGGUAGGGUAAAAGCCUACCAAGGCGACGAUCCAUAGCUGGUCUGAGAGGAUGAUCAGCCACACUGGGACUGAGACACGGCCCAGACUCCUACGGGAGGCAGCAGUGGGGAAUAUUGGACAAUGGGCGAAAGACUGAUCCAGCAAUGCCGCGUGAGUGAUGAAGGCCUUAGGGUUGUAAAGCUCUUUUAACCGGGAUGAUAAUGACAGUACCGGGAGAAUAAGCUCCGGCUAACUCCGUG
rnacentral:rRNA from 1 species